ACCUUAAAUGUUCUAAAUUUCGAGCGCCAUUUUUUUUUGACGGUUUUCGGAGCUUUAGUUGUCAUUUUAUAGGUUGUGUUAAUAAUUUACCGCGUGUUUCGAUGUCUAAAUUAAAGGGCAAGAGCAGAUCCAGCGAGAGGUCACUUAACAAUUCGGCAUCCAGAGAUCAGAUUUAGAUUUACCAUAACUUUUAAGCUUCGGACAAUCUUCUUUUCUCUUGGUGAGCUUGCGGAACACCUCUACUUUGUUAACGUUUCUUUCAAAAGUUUUAAAAGAAACCGGAAAUACAAAGGUGUCGGAACUGGAGAGACCGAAAUGUUGUUAAUGCCAUCAGUUUACAUUGAACGCGUAGGGAGUUUAGUUACUGGGGCGCCAAGAUUUGGAAAUAUUCCCCUUAAGAUGUUGCAACAUCCGGAUCCUAACAUGCCUAUUUCAGUUAGCUUUUCAUUUACAGUUGAUGGAAAAAUUGAUUAGCUUUAAACCAAAAAUGCAUGAGCGAUAUCCAAAGAAGCCGGAGUGCCAGGAAACUCACAACUCGGAGCUUGCCAACCCAAGGAAUGAUGCAGCGAUCACAACUAGGGAAGAUCCGCCCCAGAAAAGUGCGCAAGGCCAAGAGGAUAUUACCAGUAUGACGCAUGAUACCUCAAGAUCUGGACAGUACUACGACGAUACCUCAAUUUGCAUAGCAAACAACCGUUAUUAGUUUCCCGUACCGUUAAAAGAGAACCUGUAUUAUUAGUUUAAUAAUAAAAAAAGAAUAAAAAACUUUUGUUGCCCAUUGAAACCGGAUAAAUAUAA